rnacentral:tRNA from 2 species
GGAGAGGUGGCUGAGUGGUUGAAGGCGGCGGUCUCGAAAACCGUUAUCGGCCCUAAAGGUCGAUCGGGGGUUCGAAUCCCCCCCUCUCCG